GAUGAACGCUGGCGGCGUGCUUAACACAUGCAAGUCGAACGAUGAAGCCCAGCUUUCUGGGUGGAUUAGUUGCGAACGGGUGAGUAACACGUGAGUAACCUGCCCUUAACUCUGGGAUAAGCCUGGUAAACUGGGUCUAAUACCGGAUAGGAGCGUCCACCGCAUGGUGGGUGUUGGAGAGAUUUAUCGGUUUUGGAUGGACUCGCGGCCUAUCAGCUUGUUGGUGAGGUAAUGGCUCACCAAGGCGAAGACGGGUAGCCGGCCUGUGAGGGUGACCGGGCACCAUGGGACUGCGAGACGGCGCAGAAUCCAACGGGAGGCAGCAGUGGGGAAUAUUGCACAAUGGGGGCACGCCUGAUGCAGCGGCGCCGCGUGAGGGAUGACGGCCUUCGGGUUGUAAACCUCUUUCAGUAGGGAAGAAGAGAAAGUGACGGUACCUGCAGAAGAAGCAACGGCUAACUACGUG
rnacentral:rRNA from 1 species